rnacentral:lncRNA from 1 species
AAUCCUCCUAGGAGGUAGUUACAGGGUCAGGAAAGAAAAUCAGUUGACAUCCCAGGUCUGCGGGAUCGCGGCUUUGAGGCCUAGUGCGCCGGCUCUGGCCCAAAGCGCUGCUUCCUCCUUGAUCUUCGCAAUCAGGCUAGUGGUCGAGGGGCGGUCUCUGUCAAACACGCAGCCGUUUCUGUGCUUCCAUGUCAUCCAAGGCACGAGCAGGGUCAUGGAUGCGAGGCCUUUGCGCAUUAGCUUCGGCGUAGUUCGUCGCGCGGUGGUCCACCAAGCAUUUAGUGAGUCCUCGCCAUCAGGUGGGCGACAGGGUAUCCUUAGCCAGGCCAGGGCCUCGUGCCAGACCUGUCGGGCGAAAGGGCAGGCGAGGAGGAGGUGAUGCAAGGUUUCUGGUUCCUGGUCGCAUAAGGGGCACCGUGGGGGGUGCUGCAACCCUCUUCUGGCUAGCCGGUCAGCUGUCCAGCAGCGAUCGAGCCGGGCGAGCCAGUGGAAGAAGCGGACACGCGGCGACGCCCAACACUUCCAGGUGAGUUUCCAGGCAUCGCAUGGGAUGGAACCAUGGAAGGUAGCUUUGUAGGCUGAUUGCGCGGUGUAAGUGCCGCUAGCAGUCCACUUCCAUAGCAGGCGAUCAGGCUCGGCGGAGAGCGUCGUGUGUUCAAUCUUGUGCCAGAGCUGUAGGUAUUGCCCAACCUCUUGGAUCCCAAGCAUGCCAUGGAUAUCUCGUGCCCAUUUAUGAGCUUGCAACCCGUCGGCCACAGUCCGCAGCUUGCGCCGGUGCUUGGGGAUGCAUGCAUGCAGCAGGGGCGCGAUUUCUCGGAUGGCACGCCCCUCAAGCCAUCUGUCUUCCUAGAAAAGGGCCUGCUGGCCGUUGCCGAGCUGCAUGGUGGUGGAGGCGAAGAAGAAGUCGCGCUCCUCCGCCGAGAAUUGCAGGUCGAGGCCGCGCCAUGCUCUGACAGCAGCCAGCGCAUGCGCAGCGCCAGGCCGGAGCGCUCCAGGUCGCGGACGCCGAGGCCACCCAAUGUAAUUGGGCGCGCAACACGUUGCCAAUUGACAUGGCAGUUGCCGCCCUGGGCAUCGACGCGCCCUGCCCAGAGGAACCCUCGCUGGAUUUUCACCAGCGCUUUGACUGUCUUUUUCGGUGGUGCUAGCACGAGUAGUUGGUGGAUGGGUAUCACGCUCAGGACAGCUUUAACGAAUGCGAGGCGACCAGCCUUGUUCAUGAGGUGCGCCUUCCAGCACGGGAGCAUACCGGCGGUCCUGUCGACGACGGGCUGUAGCUGGGCUGCAGUUGGGCACCGGAUCGUCAAUGGGAUGCCCAGAUAGGUGAUGGGCAGGUCCACAAUGGGGCACCCCAGCAGGUCGACAACGGGCGCGGCUGCGACGGGGUCGCAGCGAAUCAGCGUGGCAGAGCUCUUCAGGAAGUUAACCUGGAGUCCAGAGGCACGCCCGAAGAGUUGCAGGAUGCUCUUUACCGCCUCGAUGUCGCCGCGCGAGGGGUGGCAGAAGAGGAUCACGUCGGCGGCGUAGAGCGAGACGACGGGAAGCGAGCGACGGGGGUGUUGUUGCUGUAGGAUGCCGAGCUCGGUGGCGCGGUGCAGCAGGCGCCCAAGGGUGUCCACCGCGAGGACGGGGAGCUGGGCGACAGGGGGUCGCCUUGUCUCAGGCCGCGGCGGUGCCAGAUGGCGGGGCCAGGCGCGCCGUUUAANUCCAGCAGCGAUCGAGCCGGGCGAGCCAGUGGAAGAAGCGGACACGCGGCGACGCCCAACACUUCCAGGUGAGUUUCCAGGCAUCGCAUGGGAUGGAACCAUGGAAGGUAGCUUUGUAGGCUGAUUGCGCGGUGUAAGUGCCGCUAGCAGUCCACUUCCAUAGCAGGCGAUCAGGCUCGGCGGAGAGCGUCGUGUGUUCAAUCUUGUGCCAGAGCUGUAG